AAGACUAUACUUUCAGGGAUCAUUUCUAUAGUUUCUUACUUGAGAGAUGUGUUUCUAAAGUGUUUGGUCUCGCUAGCUACGAUGAUGAGGCUUGAUGUUCUUCUCUGAGCGCGAAGCGGGUAGAGAAUAAUGAUUCACAUCAUACGUUUUCUACCUUUGAUGAACGUUCACUGUCUCCUUCUGGAGCUGUGAGGGGAAGAACAUGAUCAGAGUAGA